rnacentral:lncRNA from 1 species
UACAACAAGCACAUAGUUUUCUUUUUAUUAAUAGUAAUUGCUCAUAAUUUCAAAAUAUGAAUAAUUAUGCAAAAAUAUUUUAUCAUAAUAUUAAAGCUUAGAAAGGUUAACUCUCCUUACCUCUUUUCCAUACUUAGUUUCCUACUCAGAAGUUGUUUCCCCGAAAAUCCUCUAGAAUCUCUACUCUCUUUGGAACCAAAAUUUCUUCCUAAUUCUUUCCUUCUUUCCCUUUCUCUCUUUCUCUCUUAUUUCCUCUCAUUCUUGUGCAAAAUCCUUCUUCCCCCCUCCCCCUUGGCUAUUUAUAGCCAAAAAUAUUUUUACUAUUCAACUCUUCUUUUUAAAUAUUAUUUUAAAAAAACAAUAUUUUAAUCCCACUUGCACCUAAACAUAUGUGAUCACUCUUGAC